rnacentral:tRNA from 1 species
GGGGGUGUAGCUCAGAUGGUAGAGCGCGCGCUUAGCAUGCGCGAGGUACCGGGGAUCGAUACCCCGGCACCUCCA